rnacentral:rRNA from 1 species
GUGAAAGGAGAGGUUUUUCGGUCUGCCGGUGAACUGUGCAUAUCCUGCCAAGGCGCAAAGACGAGAGCAGAAAACAUAAAGCUAAGGAAACAAUGCAGCAACAACAAAGCCUUUAGUCCCAAACAAGUUGGGGUAGGCUAGAGGUGAAACCCAUCAGAUCUCGCAACCAACUUGUGGUUCUGGAAACAAUGCAAGAUAGGGAAAACUAUGGUUUUAUUCAUAUCGUGCCGCCCUCCACCCACUCUCCGGCUUACAUACUGCCGUGAGCCACGAUAUUACAGGAAACAACUAGUACUAAGUACUCCUUUUGUAAACUUCUGUAAGAUAGUUUAGAUCAUUAACUAACUUCUAUAAGAUAGUUUAGAUCAUUAACUAACUUCUACUCCCUCCGUUCCAAAAUAGAUGACCCAACUUUGUACUAACUUUAGUACAAAGUUAGUAUAAAGUUGGGUCAGGGUCAUCUAUUUUGGAACGGAGGGAGUAUAAGAUAGUUUACAAAGGGAGUACUAACUGACAUGACCAUGCUAGCUAAACUGACUUCCUAGCUAAACUGACAUUCCAGCACAUCCGGCCUCUUGACUUGUAAUUUGAUUACUUCAUAUGACGCCUCCUCAACUUCCUGUAGCGUCGCCUCCUCGACACCGCAGCGCAGUGUUCCGACAUUACCAGGAAAAAGAAGAGAAGACAGGUUAUUCAUAUGGUCUAGAAAGAAUACUCUGCAAUCCAAUAGACACAAGCAGGCUGACCUUCUUCAGAGACUUGGGCAAGCAGGCCUUGGGAUUUAGCAUCGAUGGACUAGAAGAUGGUGAAGUAAACCAGCUCCUCGACAGACAAAGCCUCGCGCUCCAGUAUGCCUUCGAAUUCUUCCGCGGCAACCUGCUGAACAGCCUCCUCGGCACGGCAGUCCGGCGGCUCCGUCACCACGAUGCAGCCGCGGCGGCAGGAAGAGGAAGCCGGACCUCGCCGGCGGCGCAGGGCGAGCCUGCGGUCCGAGACCGCCGACGACCAUCCACUGGCCUCGGACUCGUCGGCGAGGACGAGAUUCUCGUCGGCGGAUCUCUUCUUCCCGGCGAGCGACAGCUGGUCCACCAACGUGAGCGUCACGCUCAUGCCAUGGAUGUCGACGCACGCCAUAUCCGGCACCGGCGGAUGAAUCGGCGAAAUCGAAAUCAAAAGUGGAUCUUUCGAGCAGCAAAGGGCGCGGGAGGAAGAAAGAGCGAGGGAAAGGGGAUUAGGGCAGGGAUUUGGGAUUUCUCGAUCUGAAAUACGCCUCUUGCGUAGAAUACAAGCUAAAUACGACUUCGUUA